rnacentral:rRNA from 1 species
UACGUAGGGUGCAAGCGUUAAUCGGAAUUACUGGGCGUAAAGCGUGCGCAGGCGGUUGUGCAAACCCCAUUUGAAAUCCCCGGGCUUAACCUGGGAAUGGCAUUGGUGACUGCACGGCUAGAGUGUGUCAGAGGGGGGUAGAAUUCCACGUGUAGCAGUGAAAUGCGUAGAGAUGUGGAGGAAUACCGAUGGCGAAGGCAGCCCCCUGGGAUAACACUGACGCUCAUGCACGAAAGCGUGGGGAGCAAACAGG